UGGAGAUUGGAUUUAUUCGUGGACCCCUAACCACUGAAGAACGCCUUAGACGCAAGAAUAAAGGCUUGUGUAUGUAUUGCGGCAAGGCAACUCACACCGUCAGGGACUGCCCCAUCCUUGAAAAGAAUAAAACCAUGGGAACGAAAAUGCUUGAAGAAAGAAGCCAUCGUUGAUACGGGGGCUCACUCAAAUUAUAUUGAUAAGUCACUAGUUUUCUCCAAUAAAAUACCACUGAUUAAAAAAAAUCA